GCGGCAUCCGCACCCAAGAACAGCGAGUCCUAGCUAGCGCAAGGGGCGCGAGGUUUUGCUUGCCCUGGCUCUCAUGGCGUGCCUCCUCGUCCUCGUCGUCGCCGCCGCGGUUCUCACGGCUCCACCCGGGAAGCUGGCGCAAGCUGCCCGGACGACGUCGCCGGAGGCGUUCUGGCGCGCCGCCCUCCCCAACGCUCCCAUGCCGGAGUCCGUCCGGGAGCUCCUGCGCCCUGGUAUGCACGCAGAGGUCAAGCCUCCAAGCGCAGACAGCCUCAAACCUCGCGACGGAUUUGGUGUCCUAUGGUGUACGUACCCAUAUCAAAUCGUGAGCGUAAAAUCGCAUCUGGAGAUUCGUGCACCAGCAGCUGUUAAUCCACGGCGUCACCGCUAUGUAGUCGAACCAGUUCGCUGUUCCCGGACGCAUAACGCCGUGUUCACACCAGGCAUUGAAAAUGAGCAUUUAUUGCAACGUAAAGCCGGAAGAAACCUGGUGUCGCCACUGUACAUCUUCCCGAAAGCGCUUGUACCCCAAGCACCUCUCACACUGCCCCUGGGGCAACGCGCACCCCGCCGCAGCCGCACCCGCACCCGCACCCCACUCCCCCCCCACCCUCCCACCCCCCGCCGCGGCAUCCCGCCCCACAGCCAGAACCAAGAAAAUCGUCUCCGGCGAACAACGGAUGACGCCAUCGCCAACGCCUCUAGCUGCAGCAAAGUCACCACAACAUUCGGGGGCGACAUCAUCGCCCGCGUGCCGCCGCAAGCGGCGGUGUUCUUCCUGGAAGACGCGGUGCGCGUCGGCGGGAGCCUGCCGUUCCCGCGCGCGGCGCCCAGCGGCGAAGCGGCGGCGGGUCAGCAGGAAGCCCCGCUGGAGCUGCGCACCGUCCGCGCCGUUCGCGCCGUCCAGGGGUCCAGCUUCGUGCUGUGCCGCGGCGGGGCGCCCGCCGGCUCCGCCGGCGGCGGCGCCGUGUACGGGUGCCGCGGGGUCGUCGGCCCGGCGAGGGCGUACGUGGUGGACGUUGCUGCCGGGGAGCGCGGGGACGCGGUGACCGCGAGUGUCGUGUGCCACGCCGACGACGGCGCGUCCAAGUCUAUAAGCUGGGGCGCGCGGCGGCGGCGCUCCGCCUGCUCGACGUGAAGCCCGGCGGCGGCGCGGCGGUCUGCUACGCCGUGCCCAACGCGCAGAUACUCCUGGUGAAGAGCAACAAGCACACUCUCGUCUUCUCACAACUCACAAGUCCGCCGCGUACACGGAUCGGACUUCAUCCCCAGAGCUCGAGGGUUUUGCUUUGGCUCUCGAUCUUCGACAUGGCGCGCCUUCUCGUCCUAGCCAUCGCCGCCGCCCUAGCAGUACUCGCGGCUCCACCCGGGAAGCAGCUGAUGAUGAUGGCGCGUGCUGCCCGGCCGUCGCCGGCCGAGGCCUUCUGGCGCGCCGCCCUCCCCGACGCGCCCAUGCCGGAGGCCAUCCGCGAGCUCCUGCACCCUAGCGCCGCAGGGACCAAGGACCCUAACGUCGGCGACCCGCCGCCACUGCCUCCUCUGAACUUCAAGUACGACGACUACAAGUCCUCGCCUCGGAACGAGGCCGCCGCCGCCGCCGUGGAGGGCGUGGUCAGCGAGCAUGGGGAGGAGGCGGUGGCCGCGGCCAUCGAGUGCCGCGUGGGCCGCGCCCGUCCCGGUGGGGGGCGCGCCGCGUUCCGGCUGGUCGAUGUGAAGAAACCCGGAGGCGCGGCGGUCGUCUGCCACGCCAUGCCCGGCGGCGCGCAGGGGCUCCCGGUCAAGACCGGCGGCGAGAGCCCGUCCUUGGCGUAAGGGCUCGGUGCUCCGUUUGUUCGUGUUUGUGGUGCCUUGGCAGCAUGUGCUUUGUGAGUUUGAUCUACCGUGUUGUGUGCUCUCUAUUGCUAUAAGUGAGCGUUAAAAUAAAGGAAUGCUAGUGCUUGUGUC